UAAGGAAUAUUGGUCAAUGGACGCAAGUCUGAACCAGCCAUGCCGCGUGAAGGAUGAAGGUCCUCUGGAUUGUAAACUUCUUUUAUCUGGGACGAAAACGGGAUUUUAUCUCAAUUGACGGUACCAGAGGAAUAAGCACCGGCUAACUCCGUGCCAGCAGCCGCGGUAAUACGGAGGGUGCGAGCGUUAUCCGGAUUUACUGGGUUUAAAGGGUGCGUAGGUGGGCUUAUAAGUCAGUGGUGAAAUCUCCGAGCUUAACUUGGAAACUGCCGUUGAUACUAUAGGUCUUGAAUUAUCUGGAGGUAAGCGGAAUAUGUCAUGUAGCGGUGAAAUGCUUAGAUAUGACAUAGAACACCAAUUGCGAAGGCAGCUUACUACAUAUAAAUUGACGCUGAGGCACGAAAGCGUGGGGAUCAAAC
rnacentral:rRNA from 1 species